rnacentral:rRNA from 1 species
AUGGCGCCAUCAGAUCGGGAGGAGGAGGAGCCCGCGCCUCGCCGCCCCGCGCAGACCACGCCGCCGCGCCACCAAGCAGGGAAGCCCCGCCCAGAUCCGCCAGCGGCCCGACCUGCCGCCGAGCCGAGCGCCGCCGCGAGGGCCGGCCGUCCUGCGCCGCCCAGGGCCCUGUUGAUCACAACAGCAACGGCAAGGAAAGCACUUCGUGUACUGUCAGGGAUCGAGAUCAGUGAAGGCUCGACCACUGCUGCAAGUCUUGAUCAGCUAACUGGGCUAAGGAAACUUGCCAUUUACAAGCUCAAUAUUAUUGAGGGUCAAAAAACCUUCAUAGAUUUAUGCUCCUCCAUUCAGUACCUCUGCAGCUGCGGUCUACAGACACUUGCAAUCAAUGAUGAGAGCUCUAAUUUUAUCAACUCACUAGACUCCAUGUCCGCUCCUCCAAGAUACCUCACUGGUCUGGAGCUGUCUGGCAUGUUGGAAAAGCCUCCAAAGUGGAUCGUGGAGCUCAAGAACCUCUACAAGCUGACCCUUUCUGUGACAGUUCUUAAGACUGAUACUUUCAAGCUCAUCCAGGACCUGCCCGAAUUGUUUUCUCUCACCUUUACACUCAAUAGGGAGAUAAUUGUUCCUCCUGGAGGAUUCAAGAGUCUAAAGCUGCUUCGCUUCUUUGCAACUUUGGUGCCAAGGCUGAGCUUUGCAGUUACAGGAGAGGUAAUGCCACCACUCGAGAGGAUUGAUCUGCAGUUUCAGGCCUUCGAAGGGAUUUAUGGCAUCGAGACUCUUAGUAGUCUCCGAGAAGUGCAUCUCAGCGUUGAUAAUCAAGCCGAUGAGAUAACCAAGUUCUUGGUAGAAGAUUUGAAGGAUACCCCCAAGUAUUUAGAUAAGGAGUACGUGAGCAAGUGGCCAAAAAUAAUCACUGUUUGA